rnacentral:tRNA from 1 species
UGUCAAAUAAUUCAAUGGUUAGAAUAUCAGUUUCAUACUCUGAGAAUAUGAGUUCAAGUCUCAUUUUGACAA